rnacentral:rRNA from 1 species
UACGUAGGGUGCAAGCGUUGUCCGGAUUUAUUGGGCGUAAAGAGCGUGUAGGCGGCCAGGUAGGUCUGCUGUGAAAACUCGAGGCUCAACCUCGAGACGUCGGCGGAAACCAUCUGGCUAGAGUCCGGGAGGGGCGAGUGGAAUUCCUGGUGUAGCGGUGAAAUGCGCAGAUAUCAGGAGGAACACCAAUGGCGAAGGCAGCUCGCUGGGACGGUACUGACGCUGAGACGCGAAAGCGUGGGGAGCAAACAGG